UGGCAACCGCUGGUCACGUGCCGACGCGCGUCACUGCGCAGCGCCAUGGCAACCGUGACCUCACGGACUGGCUCGACCUUCCCGCGUGGGCCGGGUUCCUUCGGCGCCUGCUCCCGGGUGCCCCGCUCUGGGGAGCGGGCAGCGGGAACCUGGAGUGUGUCAGCGACUUCGGUGCCUCCGCCGUCUCCCUCAGGCCUGACCCCGUGGCCCUGAAAUCACAGCGUGACCCCUGCUGGGACCUCUGUUCCAGUUCCACAACCUCCCUGAGAAGUAUUUCCUCGUCGCCAGAACUACCCUGCAGCCCUGGAGGCCACAAGGGCAGGCGCAGCUCUAGGAUCUGAGCGACUGUAAUCAAGUUGGUAGCAAGAAUCUAGAAGAAUGGCGAAACUAGGAUCUGCGUGUUCCAGAGCGGAGAAACGAGCCCAACCACGCACUCCAGUCGCUGGGUGGGUGAGGGCCAGAGAGCAUACGUCAUUCUGCUUCCCACGCGCGCUCACACACACACACACACACACACACACCCGACACCGAGCUGUGCUGUAGCCAGGUGACUGUCAGAGUAUCUGCGCAGCUUCUGUUAUGUUUGUAACCCGGUGAAGCCGCCAUGCACGUUAUCUGGUGAGCAGUCGUGCUCAAAGAUGAACAGUCCGUUUGGCAAAAUAAAUAAAUAAAAAUUCCAUCCUUCCUAGCGACUCUCCAAGGACAUUAAUAAGCCAUCAAAUUAAUAACUCCAGCAAUAAAAACUCAUCUCUUUUCCUUCCCUCUUCUAUCAUCUGACAUUCCACACUCCACUAGCUCCCAGGUUUCCCCCUCUUCUCCCCUUUCUCGUUAAACAGAUCGAUUUAACUGCUUUACCUGGGGAUUGGAGGUAGGAAAAUGGACUGUCAGGGGAAGAUAGCCUUUGAGGGGACAGGAAAGCAAGCAGUAAGACUGUGCAUACUUGUAAACUAAAAUGUAUCCCUCUACUCUAGUCUUGAUCCAUCCUCUGCUCUCUCCGUGGCAGAACUGUAUUUAUUGUCAGGUCAUUGAGUACAAUAUUUAAAAAUGACACCCAACUUACUCUCUCUAACCGAAAGACCCCGAGUGCUCUGAUGCCCCGCUGACUUUGAGCAGUGCCUAGAACCAAGAUGGAUGGGAAGGAGGGGUCAUCCCUCAAUUGCCUUGGCUCAGUUCCCUGGAGGCCGUUCUCAAUUGCCAACACAAUCAACACUAAUUGGCUCCUUUACAAGCAAUAAGGAUUAGGAUAAAUAGGACAUCUCCUGCACUUUCAUCAGUUGAGCUCAUUCAAUCCCAGAUAAAUGAUGGGAUCCAGUCUGUCUUUCUGGCCAUUUCAUGGCCCUCCCCUACCUGUAGCAGGGAUGGUAACUUCACUGCUGUGUCCCAGAGCCUUGGGGGGCUCACAGGGGACUCAGUAGAAUUCUUAGCUGCCUGAUACAAUAUAGCAAGGAAGAACUCUCACUCUGCAACCUGAAACCACUCUUGCUCGUGACUGUGUGUUUAUGAGUAUCAUCCACUCACGGAGAUAAUUUGAACAUCAAGUACAGUUACUUCUGCUGCUCUUGCAAAGGUAUCAAAGGCAACACUGGGGAAGUCCUGGAAAAUGAAGCAUUGGUCUAAUUUUCAAAGAGAAGAAACAGAUCUCCCUUGUUCCCCAAAAUAACCAAAAUAUAGCCACACAGUUUUUAUAUCGUUUAUGCUCCCAGAUUGUAUGGAGUGAGACUUGUAGGUGGUAUGUCCAAUAAAGACUUUUUUGGACUUGA